CCAGGAAACAGAUGGCGGAUGCAGGGCACACAUACAAAAGAGCCCAAACCUGUGGUAGCAGCUGGGGAGCGGCUUCACUGACUUAUUCAUGUCGGCGUAGCCCCUCACAACCAAGAUGGUCCUUUGUUUUGAGACAUGUCCACAUUAUCCAGUGCUCCGAAAUGGGUUGCGUGCAGCUGCUUCUGGCACUCCCACUUGGGCUUGCAGCAGCUCCGCAGCUGAAGACAGAGCGGCCAUCUCCCUCUUUUGCUGCAGGGAACAAAAUGGUGCACGUUUGUCAUAUUGGACGGUUUCGUGAGCGGUCUAAUACAAUCAUGUCGGCGUUGUAGCAGAUGUGCAACCUACAAAUGACUGGAAUUAAGGUGCUGAGUUUUAAUGGAUUCAACCUUAAAGACUGUUGACAUGGCAUCGGUUCUGGCUACUGGAACAACAGCUGGACAGGUUAUGUGCUCAAGGCUCAAUACUCAAAAUAAUUAAUCCGAGAGAGAGGCUCUUUUUAUAUCUUGCAAUAUUAGCCCAUUUAAAUUAAUGUGAUCCCGCGAAUCAUUUGCUGCAGUAGCUACGGAUGUAGUUUAAUUAAUUUUACAAAUUAAUAAUUAAUUUGUGGAUGGAAAACAUCAAGGAGUGGCUUGAGGGACUGCAAGUUUCUGUAGCUUUUGUACAGCUUUGUGUUGUGUGUUCCUGCCAGUUACACGGAUCCUGCUUAGGGCUCACUUUGGACACAUUGUGCUCCUGUGCUGAUGACAUCACUUGAAUGACUCACCCUGUGCUGCCUCACUGAUGGUGGAUACUGGAAUGGCCGAGUUCCUGCUAGCCUGUGCCUUCAAAGGGUGGAUCAACAUCCAAUACUUUUGUGUGUCAGUGAACAAUUCAUUUGAGAGAUCAGAUUUCAACCUUUUUAUCUGCUAGAAAGAGAUGCAAUAUUAAGCAGGAAGGUGUUUGCAUGUGACAAUAUUAUGUCCUUUGUCUUUCAAUCAGGCAUGCAAAUCCUAAACUACCUCUAUCAACCACGCUUUGGCACAUAAAAAGCCACUGUUGUGAAAAACACUUUUAUGUUGUGCUUUGUGCACUCACAAUCCCCCUGUUGCCUUGGUUACCUCUCCUCGUAGUUGCUCUCUUUCUCCUGUAAGAAUACAUCUAAAUUCACCAGAAGGCAGUCAUUAUUGAACAGCUCACAGGUCAUAGCUACUAUCCAUAAAAAGGCCGACACACAUGUAGUAUUUCCCAUGCUUUCGACCAAAAAUUCUCCCACACUUUUAAAAAUAUGUCUCUAAUCCAGAAUAUUCUGUAGCCACCUUUGGGUAUUCCUUUAUGCCCUACAUUAGAUAAUAGAUAAUGUGCAUUUUUACUAAAGUGUGAGUCUGUGUGAAUGUACGUCUGUAUGCAUGUGCAAUAUUUCUGUGUCUUUGCGUGUCCAUGUGCAUGUUUAUUCAAAACUUCUCACUGCUGAAUGCACCAGACCCUGGACAAAAUAUUAAUAAACAAUUGCUUUGCAUUUCGCCCUGGCUACUAAAUCAAGCUAUUCAGUACUAAUAGCCUGAAUUGAACCUAUAUGGUAGAUCCUUGUGAAUAAUUGCAAGAAUGCCACUAAAGGACAAACUUGUGUCGCAUUAUUAAAAGAAAAUCCAUCAUAUGAUAAUAAUUCUGCAAAUCGACUUUUUCAGAGGUCUGGAUUAUACUAACAUGAUCUUCCUAACAAGACUACUUUUUGCUAACACAGUGUGAUGACUACUAACCUCUUCGCUCAGUGCUAUUGGCUGGCCUCACAGUCAGUGACUAACCCUCUGCUUUAUGGCCACAAACACAGACAAACCCUCUCUCUUGAUCCUGCAACCCCUCUUCUGUGAACUAUUCAGGCUAAUCAUUAUAGAAGGACAUCAAAUCUAAACAGAAGCUGAGUGUGUCAAGAAGGGUUUCAAGAUUUGGGGAGGAAAUUACAUGAGCCAGAAGCAGGAACGUGGCUUAUCAAACCUGGCUUGACCAUAAAGUCCACAAAGAUCUUGUGACUGUUGCAUUGCAGCAUUGUGUCACGCUAUGGGCUCAAGUUAGAGAAUCAUAGAUGUGUGACUUUGUGUGCACGGUGUGGUCAAGCUUUGCAGGUGAGUGCCUUCGUUGUUGUCCCCAGGGUCAACAUUACUAACUCCCUCUGAUACUGUACUAACAAUGGCACGGCUGCCGAGUACUAACAUCUCUGCUCUGCUCAUUUUUAUAAUUCAUUUUAUAUUGACAAAAUCAAAUGGCUUUUUUUGUCUUUGUUGAUUAACAGACUAGAGCAUGGCCUGUGUCAACAAGUAUUCUCUUUUGAAAUCAUAAUUAGGUCUCAUCAUUUGUGUAACGGACAAGACGGGUUUCCACAAGCUACUAACAUUCUUGGAAAUAUGACAAAUACUAACCAAAAAGCUUUAAAUAACUAACAAACUAACCCACUAAUUGACUAACAAGGAUCCUGACUCACUUUGAGCUUGAAUACUGCAUCAGUCAACAUGCCAUCAUAUACUACCAGUACAGAUGCAGCACAUAUUGAACCCUGCUGUCAAGGUUGAAUGUAUUUUAGCUGAACAUGUGCACAGACGAGGGAGUGGGUGGGCGCAUAUGGAGGAUGGUUACUGUCCAUCUUCCUGAUUUGCCAUCCGAAAGAAUAUUUUAAGUGUACUGUGAAAAUAGGAUGCAAAAUGUCACAUAUGUCGCAAUACUGUGUAGACAAUUACAACGGCUCAUUUCUUUUAGCUGAGAAUAAAAAAAACGGGUUGGCUCCAUUUCACAUGCUUAAACAGCCCAUGUAAUCAUUAUUAUUCAACAAACUCUGACAUUAAAUACAAAAAUCGUGUAGUUAAGAUAUUUGAAGCAUAGUUUUACUGUCCGUGUACAGUGUCUGUUCAACAAACAUUUGUGAGUGACUACAUGUGCACAAUGAUAUCAUCAAUCAUCAUUAUGUCUACUAUGUGCCUGAAUAAUGGACGAUAAAACAAACACCUUUUAUGCACUUAUAAUGUUCUUGCAUUAUGUAAUAAACAGAUUUACUAUG